rnacentral:rRNA from 11 species
UUAAAUUGAAGAGUUUGAUCAUGGCUCAGAUUGAACGCUGGCGGCAGGCCUAACACAUGCAAGUCGAACGGUAGCACAGAGAGCUUGCUCU